AUGAGGAGAGAAUCCUAAGGCCAACGGGAGAAGGGUUGUUAAGGAACUCGGCAAGUUGACCCCGUAACUUCGGAAUAAGGGGAGCCUCGAAAGAGGCCGCAGUGAAAAGGCCCAAGCAACUGUUUACCAAAAACACAGGUCUAUGCUAAAUCGAAAGAUGACGUAUAUGGGCUGACGCCUGCCCGGUGCUGGAAGGUUAAGAGGAGAGCUUAGCGCAAGCGAAGGUUUGAAUUGAAGCCCCAGUAAACGGCGGCCGUAACUAUAACGGUCCUAAGGUAGCGAAAUUCCUUGUCAGGUAAGUUCUGACCCGCACGAAAGGCGUAAUGAUUUGGGCACUGUCUCAACAGCCCGCCCGGCGAAAUUGUAGUACUGGUGAAGAUGCCAGUUACCCGCAACUAGACGGAAAGACCCCAUGGAGCUUUACUGCAGCUUAAUACUGGAAUUCGGUAACCCAUGUACAGGAUAGGUGGGAGGCUUGGAAGCAGGGGCGUCAGCUCUUGUGGAGCCGCCGGUGGGAUACCACUCUUGGAUUGCUGAAUUUCUAACCUGCGGCCGUGAAUCCGGUCGGGGGACACUGUUAGGCGGGCAGUUUGACUGGGGCGGUCGCCUCCAAAAGAGUAACGGAGGCGCUCAAAGGUUCGUUCAGCACGGACGGAAAUCGUGCAUUGAGUGUAAACGCAUAAACGAGCCUAACUGCGAGACCGACGGGUCGAGCAGUAACGAAAGUUGGAGUUAGUGAUCCGGUGGUAUGUGAGUGGAAAUGCCAUCGCUCAACGGAUAAAAGCUACCCUGGGGAUAACAGGCUGAUCUCCCCCAAGCGUCCACAGCGACGGGGAGGUUUGGCACCUCGAUGUCGGCUCGUCACAUCCUGGGGCUGUAUUCGGUCCCAAGGGUUCGGCUGUUCGCCGAUUAAAGUGGCACGCGAGCUGGGUUCAGAACGUCGUGAGACAGUUCGGUCCCUAUCUGUUGCGGGCGUAAGAGAUUUGAAGGGAGCUGUCCUUAGUACGAGAGGACCGGGAUGGACGUACCUCUGGUGCACCAGUUGUCCUGCCAAGGGCAUAGCUGGGUAGCUAUGUACGGACGAGAUAAACGCUGAAAGCAUCUAAGCGUGAAACUCCCCCUAAGAUGAGAUCUCUCACCUCGAAAGAGGGUAAGGGCCCAGGAAGACUACCUGGUAGAUAGGCCGGAGGUGGAAGUGCAGUAAUGUAUGGAGCUGACCGGUACUAAUCGCCCGAGGGCUUGACCU
rnacentral:rRNA from 1 species